rnacentral:lncRNA from 1 species
UGUCAACCCAUUCUUUCAAUACUUUCCGAAUGUGGAAACGUUUCAUUAUGAACCGUGUUGCACCUACACAAAUAAACAUCUUCCUUAAUUUACAUGAACAUGUAUGAGUGUAUAUGAUGUCAACCCAUUCUUUCAAUACAUUCCGGCAUAGUUGAAGUUGAAUUUGAUAACAUGUGGAAAAGUUUUAUUAUGGACCUCGUUGCACCAACACAUAUAAACAUCUCCCUUUUUUUGGCAUUUCCGCAUUCAAUAUUUCUAAUAUAUGUAAUUAAAGUCGUACACAGAAAGGUUGCUAUCAGAGGGAAGUUAAUUCUUAUGAACCGAAUGCCUCAGCAC